rnacentral:tRNA from 1 species
GAAGGUAUAGCUCAGUGGUAGAAUACCUGCUUAGGAUGCACAAGGUCCUGGGUUCGAUCCCCAGUACCUCCA